rnacentral:rRNA from 1 species
UUUCCGGUUGAUCCUGCCGGACCUGACUGCUAUCGGGUUGAUACUAAGCCAUGCGAGUCUUUGUAGCAAUACAAGGCAGACGGCUCAGUAACACGUAGUCAAUCUACCCUAUGGACGGGGAUAACCUCGGGAAACUGAGAAUAAUACCCGAUAGAUCAUUAUGCCUGGAAUGGUUUAUGGUCGAAAUGAUUUAUCGCCGUAGGAUGGGACUGCGGUCUAUCAGCUUGUUGGUGAGGUAAUGGCCCACCAAGGCUAUAACAGAUACGGGCUCUGAGAGGAGAAGCCCGGAGAUGGGUACUGAGACACGGACCCAGGCCCUAUGGGGCGCAGCAGGCGAGAAAACUUUGCAAUGUGCAAAAGCACGACAAGGUUAAUCCGAGUGUUUUCUGCUAAAGAAAUCUUUUGUCAGUCCUAAAAACACUGAUGAAUAAGGGGUGGGCAAGUUCUGGUGUCAGCCGCCGCGGUAAAACCAGCACCUCAAGUGGUCAGGAGGAUUAUUGGGCCUAAAGCAUCCGUAGCCGGCCGUGUAAGUUUUCGGUUAAAUCUAUACGCUCAACGUAUAGGCUGCCGGGAAUACUGCACAGCUAGGGAGUGGGAGAGGUAGACGGUACUCGGUAGGAAGGGGUAAAAUCCUUUGAUCUAUUGAUGACCACCUGUGGCGAAGGCGGUCUACCAGAACACGUCCGACGGUGAGGGAUGAAAGCUGGGGGAGCAAACCGGAUUAGAUACCCGGGUAGUCCCAGCCGUAAACCAUGCAAACUCAGUGAUGCAUUGGCUUGUGGCCAAUGCAGUGCUGCAGGGAAGCCGUUAAGUUUGCCGCCUGGGAAGUACGUACGCAAGUAUGAAACUUAAAGGAAUUGGCGGGGGAGCACCACAAGGGGUGAAGCCUGCGGUUCAAUUGGAGUCAACGCCGGGA